GCCUUUUUGAAAUGCCUUGGGAGACAUCUAAUAAAAUUGGAACAAUAGAAAAGAUUAACAUGGCCUAUGUGCAAGGAUGAAAUGCACAAAUCAAGAAAUGGUCAAAUUUUAA
rnacentral:snRNA from 1 species